AUAGCGGCACUCGGAAUGAGUGCGCUGAGACUCCCUCAAAUUCACCGGGCAACGGAAGCCCAACGUACACAAGCAUUUGUGCAAUCAGUGCAGAGCGUGUGAGGUGACUUCUGUACUUCGAUAGACCGUAGAAUAUCGGGCCGUUCUGACGACCGCAGCUAUGCACGCGACGCUUAUAUACCUAGUCACGCUAACCGUCAUUGCUCAGGUACUUCCACAAGCCUCGAGUCUCCCUUUGCGGCCGGACAUAUUUAAACCAAGUGACAUGUAUAUAGAUGAGACAAAUGACCUCGCAUUGCCACGAGAUGACCCUGGAAAGGAAGCUGCAACAAGAACGACGCCUUUGGCGACACCAUGGGAAGAUAUAUAACAGCAAGCAACAAGUGUUUAUACAUUUCAAAGAGGAAGAAGUGGUUUCGAGUUAUACAUGAAGAUACCAUAUGAAUAACAAUAUCGUUAUGCAUAGCCAUUGACCUAGACCCCUCUGAGAUGCUGCACUGGUUAGCAUGCCCUGUGAUUUAAUAAACAUGAAGUGAUCAAA